GGUUAGUCUACUGCUUGUUAUAGAUCUUACAUUUCAAUAUUUUCCCCAUAAAUUUAAUAGAGAAUAAUAGUGAAAAUAGUAGAAAUAUGUUCCCAUGAGGCAAAAGUGAGAAAUUUAACAGAAAUUAUUUCUUUGUUUUAAAGGGAGACAGUAAAUGGAAAAUGAAAACUGAUGAAGUUCAUGUAUAUUUCGUGCUUGUUCAAUACCCUAAAUAUAGCACUUCGAGUCAUUUAACACACAUACAGUUAAUUGUAGUAAUGUGGUCAUAUUAAAUAAGAUCAUGCUAUAUUGUGUCAAGAGAAAGUGGUCAUAUUAAAAAGGGGCUCUUUUAAUGAACCUCUAAACAAUUUCUUUGGCUGUAUCACAGCCUAGGUUGAUAAUAAAAAUUGCCUUUGAACAGAGUACUCUAAAUUUUUACAAGACUCCAAUUCUCCUGUAAAUUAUAGAAUUUGAAAUGUAAUUCUCCCUGGAACCAUAAAAGAAUUAGAACAGAGAAACGCUGUUAAGAAUAAAGCAAGAUAAAAAGUAAAAAAAAAAAAAAAAGGUAGACAGUUUCUUUGAGGAAACAGGCAUGCCUAUUGAGAUACCUGGUUCAAUCUGAUGUCACAUUGUUUAGUGUAUUUUUUGCUCAUGAAUUUAGUACAGCAUUGUGUGCUACUUAAACUCCAUGGCAACAUACCGGAAUCUUCUCCCACAACAAACAGACCUCACAUAGUUACCUUCUUUGCCUGAAGUUUGUAUAAAUUGAAGUAGCCUUUUUAAUUAGUAUUUUAUCCCAAGUUUCUUUACAUUCUAACAGAGCAUAUUAUAGCCUUAGUGGUUCAAAAAUAUUGAGAUGAGUCUCCUCGGCAGGUAGUUUUAGGAAUAACUAGGAGGUUGGUGUGAUGAAUUAAAAGUUAUAGCUGAGGAUGGGAGUAUUUUAUACUAACAGAGCAAAAACAGUGUACUUUUAUUAUUUUUUUUCCUAUUUUAGUCUCCAAUUUAAAAUUGUGUUCACUUGGUGAUUACUCUUGUGUGUGCCUUGGACACCCUAAAAAUCAUGCCUGUUUUAAUUAUAUCUUACAGAAUUUGAGAACCCCCUUUUAUUUUUCUCAUGUUCGACUAAGUUCUUAUAUAAUUGAACUCAAGGACUAUUAAUUAUUCAAUGUAUUCUUUAUACUAUUUGCCAUGUUCCUGAUUACUCAGUGACUUUACUUUUUAUGUUUUGCUUAAAUUUUAGAUAAUUGUGUUAAUGAAAAAUGCAUCCAAAGCCAUGGGAUUUUAUUUAGGAAAAAAUAAAACAAUUAGGAAAGUAUAAACAUUUUCAACAGUAAAUGAAUGAAUCAUGACUGCCUCAAAUUAUCAGGAUAUUUGUCAAGACUGUCAAAGUAACAAGAUGUGUUCAGUGUGACAAGACAUGAAGCUGAAGUUGAGAUUAUGAAGACAAGACGUUUGGGGGCAGCUGUGCAGUCAGAUUCCCUGAGAAAGGGUGGGCGGUGCCAGUCCUUGCUGCAGAAGGCACGGUCUGCGCAACUCUUGUUUGCCAUUCUUCUGUCCUGUCGGUUCCCUUCCGAGCCUACCAGCUGCUGGCACUCGAAGGAGCAAAAUACACCCAAACCCAUGACUCAGAAGAAGGCAAUUGUUGGAAGGAGGAGUUUGAGAACUUUCUGAUGUCAAGUAAGCUCUUCCAGUGUCCAUCAUGUUUUCUGACAAAUAGUGCUGUCCUAAUUUGCAACACUGGCUUUAAAAAGUCAUAGUAAUAUUCCGAAUGCAGAAGACAGACAAUUAAAGGUCAUGGUAGUUAAUAAUCGAAGGCAUUGGUCUGGAGCUUAGAAGAAGCCAUAGACACUGUUCAAGUAUGUUAUUACUACCUAGGAAUUGCUAGGCCUAGGAAUUAUAAGUUCAGAUGCUAGCAUUAGACUUCCAUGAGCUUGGUGCUACAGCAAGAGAACUCCUCAGAGUUCUAAUGAACAGAGUUGCCCUGUUUCUAAUAAUAUUUUUCUUUAUUCAUUGAAAAUUGCAUGUAUUUACAUAUUCUAUUUUGACAUAUCCAUCUACCAGUAUCUCCCCUGAUUGUCCUCUACUCCAUUUCCCUCCCAGUGUUCCAUCUUCUUUUAUUAUUAACAUUAAUAGCCCCUGAAAACACUUAAUGCUGACACCAUAUGCAGUGAAUGAGAAUGAGGCCAUCUACGGGGACAUGGCCAAUCUACCUGCUGGUGUCCAUAUCCCUAAAGGAGGGUGACACUCCCUCAACAGUUACCAACUGACAACAGCUCCUACAGCUAUAGGUGGGGGUCAGGAGUAUCCCACAUUAAUUUAACAAUUUUGACCUGUUGCUUUUAUACAGCUUCAUGGUAACCAUAGUGCUGUGAGUUAGCAUACACAACACUCAUGCUAUGCCUAGAAGGCAGCAUUUCCCAAUACUCCUCCUAGUCCUCCAGUUCUUACGUUAUUUCUGCCUCCAUUUAAUGAUGGUCCCUAAACUUUGAGUGGGAGGGGUUCAUAUAGACGAUUCCUUCACAGUUAGGACUCACAUCUACUCAUAUUCAUGUGAUAUAUUUCAGUCAUAUCCUUCUAUCAUCACCUCCUUCCGCUGCCUUGCAUUGUAUCUCGCUCCACAUCUUUCCCAAUGUUAUGUCCUCUUCUCCUUUCUUGUUAUUAAUAACCCCUGAACUCAAUGCUGCUAAUACGGGCAGUAAGCAGGUAGGCAACAUAGUUAUGAGUCUUUGCAUGAACCACUACUAACUCCACAAAAGAGGUUUGUCUGGCAGGUCUAUAGAUAUAAAUGUGAAUAUUUACUUAGGAGGUCGUUUGACAGAAUUAUCAAUUAUC
rnacentral:lncRNA from 1 species